CCAGCUCGAAGGCCAUGAAUGCUCAUCCCGUUACAGGUUGCUCCAUGCAUACCACAUUCAUGAGCGGGCUGAGGUCUGAGUAUUUUAAUCCCCCUUGAUCGGCUCUAGCAGGGCCUAGCUGUAAUCAGCUGCGCGACGUACCAGAAAAGCAGCUUCAUUUUCAUAUCCCCUAAGAUUCUGUUACCGCAGAGGAGGGGGAAAUUGAAAGCUUUGAAAGCGUCGCGGGGAUCGGGUGCAUCUAUAUCCAUUAUCUAGCAUUCAGUCGUCGCUAUCGCGCUUGCGCCUUGUGAAGAAGGCACCCAGGGACUUACUUGGGCAUCCCGCAGUUCGGCCAAGCUAUGUUAUGGAAACCAAUGUUGGUGCUUUGAAUUGCAAUCGUCAGAUCGAGGUAUGGUAUCCGAGGUGACGGCCACACCAUAUUGGUGCUUACCUCUGACGAAGUGGUUCACCUUGGCACCGAUGAAUUCCAGCUUAUGGCUAUAUAUGGCUGGAGACAAUCUCUCCUUGCGUAUGAGGUGGUGGCUGAUUGCAUGCGAUAUGGCAUACCUGUCUUCCUUGAGUUCACUUCGUGGCUCGCGUAUCCUUCGUGGAUCGUGAAACUCGAUUCAGACUACUCUCGGGCUGG
rnacentral:RNase_P_RNA from 1 species